rnacentral:tRNA from 1 species
UCCAUGGUGGUCCAGUGGUUAGGACUCCACACUGUCACUGUUGUGGGCUUGAGUUCAAUCCUUGGUCAGGAAG